rnacentral:rRNA from 1 species
GGGUUGUGAGGUUAAGCGACUAAGCGUACACGGUGGAUGCCCUGGCAGUCAGAGGCGAUGAAGGGCGUGCUAAUCUGCGAUAAGCGCCGGUAAGGUGAUAUGAACCGUUAUAACCGGCGAUACCCGAAUGGGGAAACCCAGUGUGUUUCGACACACUAUCAUUAACUGAAUCCAUAGGUUAAUGAGGCGAACCGGGGGAACUGAAACAUCUAAGUACCCCGAGGAAAAGAAAUCAACCGAGAUUCCCCCAGUAGCGGCGAGCGAACGGGGAGGAGCCCAGAGCCUGAAUCAGCAUGUGUGUUAGUGGAAGCGUCUGGAAAGGCGCGCGAUACAGGGUGACAGCCCCGUACACAAAAGCGCAUGUGCUGUGAGCUCGAUGAGUAGGGCGGGACACGUGGUAUCCUGUCUGAAUAUGGGGGGACCAUCCUCCAAGGCUAAAUACUCCUGACUGACCGAUAGUGAACCAGUACCGUGAGGGAAAGGCGAAAAGAACCCCGGCGAGGGGAGUGAAAAAGAACCUGAAACCGUGUACGUACAAGCAGUGGGAGCACCCUUUGGGGUGUGACUGCGUACCUUUUGUAUAAUGGGUCAGCGACUUAUAUUCUGUAGCAAGGUUAACCGAAUAGGGGAGCCGGAGGGAAACCGAGUCUUAAUUGGGCGUUAAGUUGCAGGGUAUAGACCCGAAACCCGGUGAUCUAGCCAUGGGCAGGUUGAAGGUUGGGUAACACUAACUGGAGGACCGAACCGACUAAUGUUGAAAAAUUAGCGGAUGACCUGUGGCUGGGGGUGAAAGGCCAAUCAAACCGGGAGAUAGCUGGUUCUCCCCGAAAGCUAUUUAGGUAGCGCCUCGUGAAUUCAUCUCCGGGGGUAGAGCACUGUUUCGGCUAGGGGGCCAUCCCGGCUUACCAACCCGAUGCAAACUGCGAAUACCGGAGAAUGUUAUCACGGGAGACACACGGCGGGUGCUAACGUCCGUCGUGAAGAGGGAAACAACCCAGACCGCCAGCUAAGGUCCCAAAGUCAUGGUUAAGUGGGAAACGAUGUGGGAAGGCCCAGACAGCCAGGAUGUUGGCUUAGAAGCAGCCAUCAUUUAAAGAAAGCGUAAUAGCUCACUGGUCGAGUCGGCCUGCGCGGAAGAUGUAACGGGGCUAAACCAUG